rnacentral:rRNA from 1 species
ACUCCUACGGGAGGCAGCAGUGGGGAAUUUUGGACAAUGGGCGAAAGCCUGAUCCAGCAAUGCCGCGUGCAGGAUGAAGGCCUUCGGGUUGUAAACUGCUUUUGUACGGAACGAAAAAGCUCCUUCUAAUACAGGGGGCCCAUGACGGUACCGUAAGAAUAAGCACCGGCUAACUACGUGCCAGCAGCCGCGGUAAUACGUAGGGUGCGAGCGUUAAUCGGAAUUACUGGGCGUAAAGCGUGCGCAGGCGGUUAUGUAAGACAGAUGUGAAAUCCCCGGGCUCAACCUGGGAACUGCAUUUGUGACUGCAUGGCUAGAGUACGGUAGAGGGGGAUGGAAUUCCGCGUGUAGCAGUGAAAUGCGUAGAUAUGCGGAGGAACACCGAUGGCGAAGGCAAUCCCCUGGACCUGUACUGACGCUCAUGCACGAAAGCGUGGGGAGCAAACAGGAUUAGAAACCCUAGUAGUCCCAUGAU